UGCAGUCGAACGGGGUCGGAACUUCGGUUCCGGCUUACGUGGCGCACGGGUGAGUAACACGUGGGAAUCUGCCCAUCUAUGGGGAAUAACUGCGGGAAACUGCAGCUAAUACCACAUACGCCCUUCGGGGGAAAGGCUUCGGCCGUAGAUGGAUGAGCCCGCGUCCGAUUAGCUAGUUGGUGGGGUAAUGGCCUACCAAGGCGACGAUCGGUAGCUGGUCUGAGAGGAUGAUCAGCCACACUGGGACUGAGACACGGCCCAGACUCCUACGGGAGGCAGCAGUGGGGAAUAUUGGACAAUGGGCGAAAGCCUGAUCCAGCAAUGCCGCGUGAGUGAUGAAGGUCUUCGGAUUGUAAAGCUCUUUCGACGGGGAAGAUAAUGACGGUACCCGUAGAAGAAGCCCCGGCUAACUUCGUGCCAGCAGCCGCGGUAAUACGAAGGGGGCUAGCGUUGUUCGGAUUUACUGGGCGUAAAGCGUGCGUAGGCGGCUUAUCAAGUCAGAAGUGAAAGCCCGGGGCUCAACUCCGGAAUGGCUUUUGAGACUGGUAGGCUGGAGUUCGGGAGAGGGUAGUGGAAUUCCCAGUGUAGAGGUGAAAUUCGUAGAUAUUGGGAAGAACACCGGUGGC
rnacentral:rRNA from 1 species